AGGACGAACGCUGGCGGCGUGCUUAACACAUGCAAGUCGAACGAGGCGCUUGCGCCUAGUGGCGAACGGGUGAGUAACACGUGAGCAACCUGCCCUUGGCUCUGGGAUAGCCUCCGGAAACGGGGAUUAAUACCGGACAUGACCUUCUCCUGCAUGGGGGAGGGUGGAAAGUUUUUUCGGCCAGGGAGGGGCUCGCGGCCUAUCAGCUUGUUGGGGGGUAACGGCCCACCAAGGCGACGACGGGUAGCC
rnacentral:rRNA from 1 species